rnacentral:rRNA from 2 species
CGACCUCAGAUCAGGUGGGACUCCCCGCCGAAUUUAAGCAUAUUAGUAAGCGGAGGAAAAGAAACUAACGAGGAUUCCCUUAGUAGCUGCGAGCGAACAGGGAAGAGCCCAGCACUGAAUCCCAAAGGCCUCGCCUUUAGGGAGAUGUGGUGUUUAGGAGUGCCCGAUCAACCCGGGGUCCGUGCACCGCGUUCAAGUCCAUCUUGAACGGGGCCACGGUCCGCAGAGGGUGCCAGGCCCGUAGAUGACCGGUGCCGGCCUCGGGUGGGUUCCUCCUUAGAGUCGGGCUGCUUGGGAGUGCAGCCCUAAGUGGGUGGUAAACUCCAUCUAAGGCUAAAUACAACCACGAGACCGAUAGAGAACAAGUACCGUGAGGGAAAGUUGAAAAGAACUUUGAAGAGAGAGUUCAAGAGUACGUGAAACCGCUCAGGGGUAAACGGAAAAGACCCGAAACACCGAAAAGGGAGAUUCACGUCUUCUCGCAGGUGCCGGCCCCCGUUCGGGGGGAUGGCCUCACGCCCCGUCCGGUUUUUCCGUGGCGGUGGGUAGGCUGCCCCCUACGGGGUUUCGGUCCAGCGGAGGACCGCACUUCUCCCCUAGUAGGACGUCGCGACCCGCUCUGAGGCGGUCUAACGGCCGGUAGAAUGCCUGGCCGGGGCUCCCUUCGGGGUGGUUCCCGGCCAGAUCUCCGGACCCGCGACCGUCUGCUGGGGCGGUAUGAAACGAUGUAGCGCUGGGCCGCUCCCUGAGAGCGCCGUUGUCUCUUCGCAAGCCCGGGUCGGGCCGUCGGGUCGUGCUCUCACGGGCACGCUCGGCGUCCGCUCGGACUGUUGGUGAACGAGACUCCGGCAGCUGUCCAGCACGCUCGUCGGCGGCGCUUCAGAUUCGGGCACUUAUCCGACCCGUCUUGAAACACGGACCAAGGAGUCUAGCAUGUGCGCGAGUCAUUGGGUGCAAAACCUAAAGGCGUAAUGAAAGUGUCAGAGGGCGCUUGCGCCCUCAGUGGGAGGAUGGGUUUCCGGCCCCCCGGCCGGUGCCCCGCACUCCCGGGGCGUCUCAUUCUCGUUUCGAGUCGAGACGCACCAGGAGCGCACACGCUGGUACCCGAAAGAUGGUGAACUAUGCCUGGCCAGGACGAAGCCAGGGGAAACCCUGGUGGAGGUCCGAAGCGAUUCUGACGUGCAAAUCGAUCGUCUGAGCUGGGUAUAGGGGCGAAAGACCAAUCGAACCAUCUAGUAGCUGGUUCCCUCUGAAGUUUCCCUCAGGAUAGCUGGCUCUCGGGAAGAGACGAGUCUCAUCCGGUAGAGCGAAUGAUUAGAGGUGAUGGGGUCGAAACGACUUCAACCUAUUCUCAAACUCCCAAUAGAUGAGAGCCCCGGCUUGCUUGAAAGUGAAGCCGCGGGAUUCGGAUCAGAGAGGCCAAGUGGGCCAAUUUUGGUAAGCAGAACUGGCGCUGUGGGAUGAACCAAACGCGGAGUUAAGGCGCCCGAUUCGACGCUCAUCUGAAACCAUGAAAGGCGUUGGUUGCUUAAGACAGCAGGACGGUGGCCAUGGAAGUCGGAAUCCGCUAAGGAGUGUGUAACAACUCACCUGCCGAAGCAACUAGCCCUGAAAAUGGAUGGCGCUGUAGCGUCGUGCCUAUACUCCGCCGUCAACGGCAAAGCGGGCGGCCCCCUCGGGGGCGUUGCCGUUAAGCCUUGACGAGUAAGAGGGUCGCGGCGGUGUGCGCGGAAGGGUCUGGGCGUGAGCCCGCCUGGAGCCGCCGCCGGUGCAGAUCUUGGUGGUAGUAGCAAAUACUCCAGCGAGGCCCUGGAGGACUGAUGUGGAGAAGGGUUUCUUGUGAACAGCUGUUGCACAAGAGUCAGUCGAUCCUAAGCCCUAGGAGAAAUCCGAAGCGAUGGUUUGCCGUUAUUAACUCUUUGGUGCCCGCCUCCGGCCCCGGCGUCUCGACCCUUCGGGGACGAGCGUCGGCCGUGGCGGUGACUCUGAUGAGCUGGCACCGUCUGGGCGAAAGGGAAUCCGGUUCCUAUUCCGGAACCCGGCAGCGGAACCGCUCCAAUUCGGGCCCUCUUCUGAGGACUCGUCGGGGUGACCCGAAAUGACCCGGAGAAGCCGUAGGGAGGUCUGGGGAGAGUUGUCUCUUCUCUAUAAGCGUUCGAGUUCCCUGGAAUCCUCUAGGAGGGAGAUAGGGUUUGGAACGCGAAGAGCACCGCACUUACGGCGGUGUCCGGAUCUUCCCCUCGGACCUUGAAAAUCCGGGCGAGGGCCACGAGGAACACCGCGCCGGCUCGUACCCAUAACCGCAGCAGGUCUCCAAGGUGGAUAGCCUCUAGUCGAUAGAAUAAUGUAGGUAAGGGAAGUCGGCAAACCCGAUCUGUAACUUCGGGAUAAGGAUUGGCUCUGAGGAUCGUGGCGUGCCGGGCUUGGUCGGGAAGUGGAGCGGUGCCAACGUGCCGGGCCUGGGCGAGGUGAAAGGCGCAAGCCUGGACCCGAGCUCGGU